UACGUAGGGGGCAAGCGUUGUCCGGAUUUAUUGGGCGUAAAGAGCGUGUAGGCGGUUUGGUAGGUCCGCUGUGAAAACUCGAGGCUCAACCUCGAGACGCCGGUGGAAACCAUCAGACUAGAGUCCGGAAGAGGAGAGUGGAAUUCCUGGUGCAGCGGUGAAAUGCGCAGAUAUCAGGAAGAACACCCGUGGCUAAGGCGGCUCUCUAGUACGGUACUGACGCUGAGACGCGAAAGCGUGGGGAGCGAACAGG
rnacentral:rRNA from 1 species